GCCUAGUUAGCUUAGUUGGUAGUGCGUCUGCCUUGUAAGCGCUAGGCCGCGGGUUCGAUUCCCGCACGGGGCU
rnacentral:tRNA from 1 species